rnacentral:rRNA from 1 species
AUGACCUCCUCCUCCUCUGAAUUCCAUUCCCAGCCCCUGACCACAAUCCUACUCCUCCUCCUCGUCCUCCUUUCAACAGCAUCUCACUUGAUCCUGGAGGCUGUUGCUGCUGAGCAUGAUGAGCAGCAGCCGAUCACACUUCCGGGUUGCCCUGACAAGUGCGGCAACAUAAGCAUUCCUUACCCAUUUGGCAUGAAACCUGGUUGCUUCCGUGAGGGCUUCCAGGUCACCUGCAACGACUCCUUCAAUCCCCAUCGUGCCUACCUUGCCUACGAUGGAGUAUUCCAGCGGAUUAACGAGAUUUACUUCAGGGCGCAGAAAGGGUUGUGUCGGCGUAAUCGUGUUUGGAAUAGAACACGGGAAGAUACGGCCUUGGAGCUCAUCGAUAUAUCAGUUGCAAAGGGUGAGGCGCGCGCAUACGCCGCGGUCUCAUCUCGCUGCAGCGCAAACCAUACCGACUCCUUAAGCAAAUCUCUACGGAUGCGGUUGGGAGAAAAGAUGAGCCCGUUUCUCGUGUCGGUGACGCGCAACGUUCUCAUCGGCGUAGGCUGGAGAGUCCAGCCUAAGAUGAAUAGCUACUUGUGGUCGGCGUCGGCGUCAGAUGCGUUGUCGGCACAUGGAUAUUCAUCGAAUGAACUCACUAUUUCCUGCCUUUCAUACCUCAUGCGCAUGCCGCAGUUCCUCAAGUUCGCGACCAACGGGUCGUGCUCGGGGCGGGGCUGCUGUAGGGCUGCCUUGCCGGAAGCGGUUGCACUCACCAGGUUUGCAUUGUGGAUCAGUUUCGAUGAACCAAACACCUUGUUUGUGACCAAUCCAUGCUCCUACGCCAUGGUGGUGGAGAGCACAUGGUACAACUUCACCACGCCGGACAUGUACGGUUACGAGGAGAUACCCAAGAAAUUCCCAAGGGGCGUCCCCUUGGUAAUCGAUUUCUCCAUCAGGAAUGGUUCAUGUCCAGAGAAAGGCCAGCAUCCGCCUCCGGACUAUGCUUGUGUCAGUGGCAACAGCUCAUGUUCAAACGCGACUAGUGGCCUGGGCUAUGUCUGCAAGUGUUGGGACCAUUACGAUGGGAACCCUUACAUCGCCAAUGGAUGCCAAGACAUUGAUGAGUGUAAGCUUCGCGAUUUAUAUCCUUGCUCCAGUGACGGGAUCUGCAAAAACACGUUGGGAGGAUAUGCAUGUCCAUGUAAAUCCGGAAUGAAAGGCGAUGGCGUAAAAGGAACCUGCACACAUAUUUUCCCCCAAGCAGCACGGACGAUUUUGGGGAGACGAAAGGUGCGGCGUAGGCAGACAAGAAAUUGGCCAAACAUAAGCCGAGUGUUACUUUUCAGAUAA